UUAACUGGUUGGGGAAAAGAAAAAGAAAGAAAACUGGUUGGAGAUGGAGGCACGGAGCGGUUAGGCGAGGGGUUAAUGAAAUGAUGAGUUAACUUUCUUCUCCAGAGAUAUUUUAUUACCCUCAAGACCUGAUGAGUACCAUACUCUUCUCAGGUUUGUUUGUCCUUCUUUACUAUCUAUGCUGAUCUUUGGUUGAGUAAAUAUUAUCUUAUUCCUUUUUCAUUUUGCGUUGAACCAACAUGAUGAACUGGAAGCAAAGUUGAGUGGAGAGGGCAGCUCUAGAAGCCAAAUAUCAGAAAUCGUAUCACCCGAUUUGACUAACAAUUUGCAUAUUGGUUAACGUCAAGAUUUCAAACUGCAAUUUGUGGAGAAUGUUUUCUCGAACAUUGCUAUAUGGAGAGGAGCAGGUGAGUGCAAUUGCAAGCAAGAAGCUUCACCUGAGAAGGAAGUUCAUCGCAUGUCAGUAGAAAGUAGAAGUCUAAUCAGAAGAAAGAAGGUGAUGAUGAAAUCGAGCUGAGAUCAAUAGUCCCAUGAGACCAGCAGCCUUGAGAGGAACUUUCACUCUCUCGCUUCAAAGCAAAGAACAGAUCAGCUUUGUUUUGUUGGGGAAUAAGGUAAUAACCCGCGCCUUGGGCAGAAUGAGAUUAUUAAUUUCGUUAUUUAUCCUCAUGGCGGACAACAUCAGAAGAUCUUUACAAGACAUCAACCUUGGUGUCGAUGAUGAACCUUUCGUCUUACCGGCAGACAUUGUGAGACAGGCGGAGGAAGAGAACAGCUUUAUCCUUAUUGGCCGCCCAGUGAUGCCGCGAAAACAAAACCUCAGUGCAAUCGUAGGCAACAUGCCACGGAAUUGGGGCUUUGAAGGUUUGGUUCGAGGGAGGAUCAUUAAACACCGAAGGUUCCCAGUUCGUCUUCCCAUCAGAGGAAGCCAUGUAUAUGGUGAUAAGGAGAGGCCCAUGGGCGUAUGCAGAGCGUAUGCUGGUGCUUCAGCGGUGGACACCCCUGAUGGAUAUGGCAAUGCUUAACUACAUUCCGUUCUGGAUUCAGAUUAGAGGUAUUCCUCUCCAAUACAUGAACCGACCGGUCAUUGUUAACAUUGCGAGAGUACUAGGAGAGUACAUUCAGAUGGAUUACAAUGAGGAGGUUGGUAGCAAGCUUGAAUUUUUAAGGGUUUGUUUGAACUGGAACAUCAACAACCCUCUUAAAUUUCAGCGUAACUUUCAAUUCAACCCUGGAGUCAACACUCUCCUCAGGAUCCAGUAUGAGCGUCUGCGUGGCUUCUGUGAAAUGUGUGGUCUGAUCACACAUGAUUCCGGUGCUUGUCAGAUUCAGAAUGGAGGUACAAGAAAAGAUGAUGGUGGCAAUGAUAGCGGUGGUGAAGAUGCAGAUAUAGAACUCAUUCCAAAUCAUGAUGUAAUCAUUGAAGAGAUCAAUGAGGGUGAAGAAGAAGGAGAGGCUGCUGCAAAUGCUGGGGCGGAGGGGGCAAACAUGGAAGCUGAAGCGGAACCUGUGGAUCCUGAGCAGGAAGAAUAUGAAAUGAAAAUUCGAGAGUGGGAAGAGGAAAAUGAUGAUGAUCAACUUUGGAGUGGAGAUGGAAUGCAAAUGAUGUUCUCAAGCGAGAUGGAAAUGAGAGAAAUGUAUAACCCAUUACAUCCUUAUGGACAACAUAUUCCAAAGGAGACUUCAACUGAAUCGGUUCUUAGAGGAAAGCUUGGAUCUCGGCUGCUACAGAUAACUCAGCAAAGUUCCACAGAGGUGAAACGAGUGGAGCAAAUGGAAUGAAGAGAAAGAAAGGAAGUGAGGAAGCGCAGAGAAAAGCGAUGACAGAAGACGAUACAGGAAUGCUUGUUUCCAACAAAGUGGGAGGCGCGGUGGGCCCUGAACCACCUCUUCCACCAUGAAGACAGCCUGCUGGAACUGUCGAGGGCUAGGCACAGACUCGACACCUAAAGGAGAUAUGCUGCAAGUAUCUCCCGGACAUUCUGUGUUUAUCAGAAACUAAGCAGCAAGAUGAUUAUGUAAGAGAUGUGGGAGCUCAGUUAGGAUUUCCCGAUUCAGUUAUUGUACCACCAGUACGUAUCGGAGGUGGCCUUGUUAUUUUCUUUCAGCAAUUAGUUCAGUUGCAGGUGAUCAGUCUGUCUGAUCAACUAAUAGAUUAUAAUGGUGUUUUUAAUGGAAUGAGUUUCAAUUUUUCUUUUGUGUACGGUCACCCUAAUCCUGCGCUCAGACAUCAUACUUGGGAACGUUUGACUAGAUUAAGUCUUACCGGAAGACACCACCCUUGGUUUCUUUUAGGAGAUUUCAAUGAGAUAUUGGGAAAUUACGAGAAGGAUGGAGGAAGAUUAAGACCUAAAAAUUCUUUUUGCGAGUUUCGACAGAUGAUGAGAACAUGUGAAUUAAGUGAUCCUCCGUCAUUUGGAAAUCGCUUUUCUUGGGUUGGUCAAAGAGGACGACAUCUAGUUAAAUGUUGUCUAGAUCGUACUAUGGCAAAUACAAGAUGGUUUGAAGUAUUCCCAGCUUCUGAGACUGAGAUUUUGGAGAUAGGAGAAACAGAUCACAGGCCACUGGUACGACGUCGUUAAGUGUGUUGCAUAUGGUGCAAUGGCUCAGGAGUUCACUGAUUUAUGGAAUUCCACAGAUGCUAAUAUUGUACUAUGUGUUUUACAGUAUUGGCAAAUUAAUUGGGGAGAUGGUCGCUUCAAGAAGCUUACUAACAUUGAUGGAUUUUCAAAAGUUGUUUUUGAACCAAACGGUGUUCCAGAAAUCGAUGUUUUCAGGAAGAGGAUUGCAGACAAUGGAGUUUUAUUUCUAUGAGCGGCGAUUCUGUUUUUUUUUUUAAUGUUUUUUUAAUUUUUUGCGCUCCUUUGCUGCUUUAUUAUUAAUAGUACUUUAAUGUCUUAUUUAUGUUUUUUAAUAUUAUUCAGCAUUUAUUUUAUGUCAAUAA